AGCGAACGCUGGCGGCAGGCCUAACACAUGCGAGUCGAACGAACCUUUCGGGGUUAGUGGCGGACGGGGGAGUAACACGUGGGAACGUGCCUUUAGGUUCGGAAUAACUCAGGGAAACUUGUGCUAAUACCGAAUGUGCCCUUCGGGGGAAAGAUUAAUCGCCUUUAGAGCGGCCCGCGUCUGAUUAGCUAGUUGGUUGAGGUAAUGGCUCACCAAGGCGACGAUCAGUAGCUGGUCUGAGAGGAUGAUCAGCCACAUUGGGACUGAGACACGGCCCAAACUCCUACGGGAGGCAGCAGUGGGGAAUCUUGCGCAAUGGGCGAAAGCCUGACGCAGCCAUGCCGCGUGAAUGAUGAAGGUCUUAGGAUUGUAAAAUUCUUUCACCGGGGACGAUAAUGACGGUACCCGGAGAAGAAGCCCCGGCUAACUUCGUG
rnacentral:rRNA from 1 species